rfam:Stegodyphus mimosarum contig13192, whole genome shotgun sequence.
GCCUUCGUGGUGUAGGAGUGAGCACACUCGAUGCGUAUUCAAGAGGUCCGUGGUUCGAGUCCCGGCGAAGGCA